CUGGUUAGACCAUUCUUUAUUCCUGUGAUUGCUGCAGACAUGGGGAAAUGCAGGGAGUAGCUAUAAUUCCCUGUGGAUUUGUUCCAGUUCUCUUCAAAGGCAGAAUGUGGUGGAGCCAGCCACUUGAGUUCCUCAGAACACUCCUAACAUGUGUGCACCCAUAGAGUUUGGAGACUCUAGUGGCAAUUUAUGCCCUGGAACUUAAGGGCACCUUCAGCUAAGAAACAUUACCCAGUCCUAAAAGAGAAUGGACAGUGUGAGGUGUAGGACUCCCCCUGGAAUUUAGGGCUGGAGCACUGUUCCCCACCUGGCUUGGUUGGCAGCUGUCCCAGUGUGGUUGUAUCAGGGAAGCUGUGUGUGUUCCACUAUUCACCCUACAGUGAAAUACCAAGCCUGAGGAUGUGCAUGACACAGAUGUGGAGCUUACCUACAGCCCUUUUCACCUCAAACUGUUGUGUUUUCCUCUUGAAUUCACUAAAUAGUAAUAAAAGAAUGUGGAUAUUCUGAGUAACACUAAAUGGAGAUCUCCAGUGUUGUGUGCAUCUGUAAACCAUAACUCUUAGCCUUUUAAUAUAAGUUUCACUUUGCUCAGCAUGCAAUAAUCUGUCACGCAAAGAACUGGUGUAUGAAUCCUAGAGGAUGAGAUCUUGCUGCAAUGACCAGUUGCAUAA